GAUGAACGCUGGCGGCGUGCCUAAUACAUGCAAGUCGAGCGAACAGAUGAGGAGCUUGCUCCUCUGCCGUUAGCGGCGGACGGGUGAGUAACACGUGGAUAACCUACCUAUAAGACUGGGAUAACUUCGGGAAACCGGAGCUAAUACCGGAUAAUAUAUUGAACCGCAUGGUUCAAUAGUGAAAGACGGUUUUGCUGUCACUUAUAGAUGGAUCCGCGCCGCAUUAGCUAGUUGGUAAGGUAACGGCUUACCAAGGCAACGAUGCGUAGCCGACCUGAGAGGGUGAUCGGCCACACUGGAACUGAGACACGGUCCAGACUCCUACGGGAGGCAGCAGUAGGGAAACUUCCGCAAUGGGCGAAAGCCUUACGGAGCGACGCCGCGUGAGUGAUGAAGGUCUUCGGAUCGGAAAACUCUGUUAUUAGGGAAGAACAAAUGUGUAAGUAACUAUGCACGUCUUGACGGUACCUGAUCAGAAAGCCACGGCUAGCUACGUG
rnacentral:rRNA from 1 species